AGUGAACGCUGGCGGUAGGCCUAACACAUGCAGGUCGAACGGCAGCACAGUAAGAGCUUGCUCUUACGGGUGGCGAGUGGCGGACGGGUGAGGAAUACAUCGGAAUCUACUUUUUCGUGGGGGAUAACGUAGGGAAACUUACGCUAAUACCGCAUACGACCUACGGGUGAAAGCAGGGGAUCUUCGGACCUUGCGCGAUUGAAUGAGCCGAUGUCGGAUUAGCUAGUUGGCGGGGUAAUGGCCCACCAAGUCGCCGAUCCGUAGCUGGUCUGAGAGGAGGGUCGGCCACACGGGAGCGUAGACACGGACAAGACGCCUAAGAGAGGGAGCAGUGGGGAAUAGUGGACAAUGGGCGCAAGCCUGACCCAGCCAUACGGCGUGGGUGAAGAAGGCGUUCGGGUUGUAAAGCCGUUUUGUUGGUAAAGAAAAGCAGCAGGUUAAGACCCCGCUGUUCUGACGGUACCCAAUGAAUAAGCACCGGCUAACUUCGUG
rnacentral:rRNA from 1 species